UACGGGAGGCAGCAGUGGGGAAUAUUGCGCAAUGGGCGAAAGCCUGACGCAGCGACGCCGCGUGGGGAUGACGGCCUUCGGGUUGUAAACCCUCUUUCAGCAGGGACGAAGCGAAAGUGACGGUACCUGCAGAAGAAGCACCGGCCAACUACGUGCCAGCAGCCGCGGUAAUACGUAGGGUGCAAGCGUUGUCCGGAAUUAUUGGGCGUAAAGAGCUCGUAGGCGGUUUGUUGCGUCGGCUGUGAAAACCUGAGGCUCAACCUCAGGCCUGCAGUCGAUACGAGCAGACUAGAGUGUUGCAGGGGAGACUGGAAUUCCUGGUGUAGCGGUGAAAUGCGCAGAUAUCAGGAGGAACACCGGUGGCGAAGGCGGGUCUCUGGGCAACAACUGACGCUGAGGAGCGAAAGCGUGGGGAGCGAACAGGGAUUAGAUACC
rnacentral:rRNA from 1 species